rnacentral:rRNA from 1 species
AUUAGUUUUUUAAUUGAAGGCUAGAAUGAAUGGUCGGACAAGAAAUAAUCUGUCUUAGAUUAAUAUAUUGAAUUUAACUUUUAAGUGAAAAGGCUUAAAUAAUUUGAAGGGACGAUAAGACCCUAUAAAACUUUAUAUUAAAAAGUGAUGGGUAAGUUUUGUUUAAAGGUUAUUACUUUAAAAUAUUUGGUUGGGGUGACAGGAAUAGAAUAGAAAGUAACUGUUCUUUUUUUUUACAGUAGUGUCUGAGUUAGUGAUCUUAAAAUGGAUUAAAGAUUAAGUUACUUUAGGGAUAACAGCGUAAUUUUCUUUAAGAGUUCUUAUCGAUAAGAAAGUUUGCGACCUCGAUGUUGAAUUAAAGGUUCUUUAUGGAGUAGAGACUAUAAGAGAAGGUCUGUUCGACCUUUAAAACUUUACAUGAUUUGAGUUCAGACCGGUGUGAG